AGAGUUUGAUCAUGGCUCAGGGUUAACGCUGGCGGUGCGCCUAACACAUGCAAGUCGAGCGUGAAACUUAGUUUUACUAAGGAUUAGAGCGGCGAACGGGUGAGUAACACGUUGGUAUCUGCCCUCAACUCAGGGAUAACCCGCUGAAAAGCGGACUAAUACCGGAUAGUCCCCUUCGGGGGUAAAGCUCCGGCGGUUGAGGAGGAGCCUGCGUCUUAUCAGUUUGUUGGUGGGGUAACGGCCUACCAAGACGAUGACGAGUAGCUGGUCUGAGAGGAUGGUCAGCCACAGUGGGACUGAGACACGGCCCACACUCCUACGGGAGGCAGCAGUGUGAAUUUUCCGCAAUGGGCGAAAGCCUGACGGAGCGACACCGCGUGAAGGAUGACGCUUUUCGGAGUGUAAACUUCUUUUCUGAUGGACCACGUUCUGAGUUCACAUCAGGAAUAAGCCCCGGCUAACUACGUGCCAGCAGCCGCGGUAAUACGUAGGGGGCAAGCGUUACUCGGAAUUAUUGGGCGUAAAGCGUUUGUAGGCGGUAUGUUAAGUCGGAUAUUAAAUUUCAGAGCUCAACUCUGGAGCUGUAUCCGAAACUAUCAUACUAGAGGGUUGCAGAGGUAAGUAGAAUUCCCGGUGUAGGGGUAAAAUCCGUUGAUAUCGGGAGGAAUACCAAAAGCGAAGGCAACUUACUGGAGUAGCCCUGACGCUGAGAAACGAAAGCGUGGGUAGCGAACAGGAUUAGAUACCCUGGUAGUCCACGCCGUAAACUAUGGAUACUAGGUAUUGGAGGAAUCGAUCCUUCCAGUGCCGUAGCUAACGCGUUAAGUAUCCCGCCUGGGGAGUACGAUCGCAAGAUUAAAACUCAAAUGAAUAGACGGGGACCCACACAAGCGGUGGAGCAUGUUGUUUAAUUCGAUAAUACCCGAGAAACCUCACCAAGGUUUGACAUCCCGGGAAUUUCCCUGAAAGGGGAAAGUGCCUUUUGGAAUCCGGUGACAGGUGCUGCAUGGUUGUCGUCAGCUCGUGCCUUGAGGUGUUCGGUUAAGUCCGUGAACGAGCGCAAUCCUUAUCCUGAUUUAUAUAUUUAUCAGGAGACUGCCCUCGUAAGAGGGAGGAAGGUGAGGACGACGUCAAAUCAGCAUGGCCCUUAUGCCUUGGGCUACUAACAUGCUACAAUGGGGUAUACAAUGAGCAGCUAACCCGUAAGGGGGAGCCAAUCUCAUCAAAGUAUUUCUCAGUUCGGAUUGAGGUCUGCAACUCGACCUCAUGAAGCUGGAAUCGCUAGUAAUCGCGAAUCAGCAUGUCGCGGUGAAUAUGUUCCUGGGUCUUGUACUCACCGCCCGUCACGUCAUGGAAGCUAAGAACGCCCGAAAUCUUCUGUAUUGAGGCCUAAGGUGGAAUUAGUGACUGGGACGAAGUCGUAACAAGGUA
rnacentral:rRNA from 1 species